rnacentral:rRNA from 1 species
UACAGAGGGUGCGAGCGUUGUCCGGAAUCACUGGGCGUAAAGGGCGCGUAGGCGGCGAGCCAAGCGUGUGGUGAAAGCCCGGGGCUCAACCCCGGGUCGGCCAUGCGAACUGGCUUGCUGGAGCACGGUAGAGGCACAUGGAAUUCCGGGUGUAGCGGUGGAAUGCGUAGAGAUCCGGAAGAACACCGGUGGCGAAGGCGGUGUGCUGGGCCGUGGCUGACGCUGAGGCGCGACAGCGUGGGGAGCAAACAGGAUUAGAAACCCCGGUAGU